rnacentral:rRNA from 1 species
UACGGAGGGGGCUAGCGUUGUUCGGAAUUACUGGGCGUAAAGCGUACGUAGGCGGCUUUUUAAGUCAGAGGUGAAAUCCCGGUGCUCAACACCGGAACUGCCUUUGAGACUGGAUCGCUUGAUCACGGGAGAGGUUAGUGGAAUUCCGAGUGUAGAGGUGAAAUUCGUAGAUAUUCGGAAGAACACCGGUGGCGAAGGCGGCUAACUGGACCGUUGAUGACGCUGAGGUACGAAAGCGUGGGGAGCAAACAGG